rnacentral:rRNA from 1 species
UACAGAGGUCUCAAGCGUUGUUCGGAUUUAUUGGGCGUAAAGCGUGCGUAGGCGGCGGGGUAAGUGAGGUGGUGAAAUCCCGGAGCUUAACUCCGGAACUGCACUUUAUACUGCCUUGCUCGAGGGCUGGAGAGGAGACUGGAAUUUACGGUGUAGCAGUGAAAUGCGUAGAGAUCGUAAGGAAGACCAGUGGCGAAAGGCGAGUCUCUGG